rnacentral:rRNA from 1 species
AUUGAACGCUGGCGGCAUGCCUUACACAUGCAAGUCGAACGGUAACAGGUCUUCGGAUGCUGACGAGUGGCGAACGGGUGAGUAAUACAUCGGAACGUGCCUAGUAGUGGGGGAUAACUACUCGAAAGAGUGGCUAAUACCGCAUGAGAUCUACGGAUGAAAGCAGGGGAUCGCAAGCCCUUGUGCUACUAAAGCGGCGGAUGGCGGAUUAGGUAGUUGGGGGGAUAAAAGCUUACCAAGCCGACGAUCUGUAGAUGGUCUGAGAGGACGAGCAGCCACACUGGGACUGAGACACGGCCCAGACUCCUACGGGAGGCAGCAGUGGGGAAUUUUGGACAAUGGGCGCAAGCCUGAUCCAGCAAUGCCGCGUGCAGGAUGAAGGCCUUCGGGUUGUAAACUGCUUUUGUACGGAACGAAAAGCCCUGGGUUAAUACCCUGGGGUCACGACGGUACCGUAAGAAUAAGCACCGGCUAACUACGUGCCAGCCGCCGCAGUAA